UAAAAUUUAUUUACUAUUAUUAAUAUUUUUUUAUAUAUAUAUUGUAUAUAAAUCAUUUUACUGUUGUUGUAUUUGUUAGAAAUUUAAUUAAUAUAAGUUAUUUUUUAUUAGUACUGUGAAGGAAGAGAAGGGAAAGUUUUUAAUAAUGUUAUUAUAUUGUAAGUUGAACUUAUUUUUUGUACCUUGUGUAUCAGAGUUUAUUAAUAAAUAGUUAUUGAUAUUAAUUUUCUCGAUUUCUUUAGAGUUAAUAAAUUAUUUUAUUUAUUGUGGAAUAAAUAUUAAUAAUAAUUUGUUGGUAAUGAAAUGUUAUUCGUUAAUGAGGAUAUCUAGUUUAUUAGGAAAUAAAUUUAAUUUAGAUUUUUUCUUUAAUACUUUUUAUAUAAAAAUUAAUUUUAGUUGGAAUUAUUAAUAAAAGGGAUAAGCUUUUUAUUAAAUAUUUAUAAGAUAGAAGUUGAUUAAGUUUUAUGGGUUUUAAAAUAACUAUUAUCAUAAGUAUAUUAAAAUUUUAUUUAUUUAUGGAUUAAUUUUUUUUUCUUUAAAAUUUUACUAAUAUAUUUUAAUUAAUAAAUAAUUAAUUAUAAUUAUGAUAAAAUUAGUAUAUAAAAAUUGAUUUAAUUUUAUUUUUGUUAAUUAAUUUUGAGGAAUUAGGCAAAAUUAUUGUUCGCUUGUUUAUCAAAAACAUCUCUUCUUGAUUUUGAAAUAAGAAGUAUAACCUGCCCACUGAUUUUAUUUAAUGGCCGCGGUAUAUUGACCGUGCAAAGGUAGCAUAAUCAUUAGUCUUUUAAUUAAAGGCUGGAAUGAAUGGUUGGACGAAAUAAUAACUAUCUUUUAAUUAUAAAUUAGAAUUUAAUCUUUAAGUUAAAAAGCUUAAAUAUUUUUUUGGGACGAGAAGACCCUAUAGAGUUUAUAUACUUAUUUUAAUUUAUUUAAGUUUGUUAAUUAGUGAAUUAAUUAAAGUAUUUUAUUGGGGUGAUGGAAAGAUAUAUAUAACUCUUUUUAUAAUUUAUUUAUUUAUUUAUAUUUUUGUUGAUCCAUGAUUGAUGAUUAUAAGACUAAAUUACCUUAGGGAUAACAGCGUAAUCUUUUUUAAGAGUUCAUAUCGACAUAAAGGGUUGCGACCUCGAUGUUGGAUUAAGAUUAUUUUUAGGUGUAGAAGCUUGAAAGUUAGGUCUGUUCGACCUUUAAAUUCUUACAUGAUCUGAGUUCAAACCGGCGUGAGCCAGGUUGGUUUCUAUCUAAUAGAAAUUAAAAUAUUUUAGUACGAAAGGACCAAAUAUUUAAAAUAAUUUUUAUUUAUUUAUGAAUAUUAUUAA
rnacentral:rRNA from 1 species